CGAGGAGGUAGGGCUUACGCUCGCGUUUGUCUGUUAUAUCUUGGUGGACGAGUUGUCGCGGUUGGGACUGAGGUGCCUACAACGUGCUUUUGAGUGAGUUUGUGUCUCCGUGUGCGCCGUGUGCGGAUAGCUUGCUAUGUAUGUGUGGUUGUGUGUGGAUUGAUGCGGGCCUUAACUUGUUGCCGUUCGGGACGUUGACGAAAUGGAGCGAUCCGACCCGUCUUGAAACACGGACCAAGGAGUCUAACAUGUGUGCAAGUGUUAGGGUGUGGAAACCCCAGCGCGAAAUGAAAGUGAAGGGCAGCGCAAGUUGUCUGAGGUAGGAAACGUUGUGGGCUUCGGUCUGCGGCGUGGCACUAUCGACCGAUCAUGAACCUUCGUGGUGAAAGAUUUGAGUUUGAGCACAUAUGUUGGUACCCGAAAGAUGGUGAACUAUGCCUGAGUAGGGUGAAGCCAGGGGAAACUCUGGUGGAAGCUCGUAGCGAUUCUGACGUGCAAAUCGAUCGUCAAACUUGGGUAUAGGGGCGAAAGACUAAUCGAACCAUCUAGUAGCUGGUUCCCUCCGAAAUUUCCCUCAGGAUAGCAGCAACUUAUUUACGAUAGUUUUAUGAGGUAAAGCGAAUGAUUAGAGGAUUCGGGGAAGAAACUUCCUCGACCUAUUCUCAAACUUUAAAUCUGUAAGACCUGCAGGUUUCUUAAU
rnacentral:rRNA from 1 species